rnacentral:rRNA from 1 species
UACGUAGGGGGCAAGCGUUGUCCGGAAUUACUGGGCGUAAAGCGCGUGUAGGCGGCCCUGCAAGUCGGAUGUGAAAUCCCACGGCUCAACCAUGGAAGUGCAUUCGAAACUGCAGAGCUAGAGUCCUGGAGAGGAAGGUGGAAUGCUUGGUGUAGAGGUGAAAUUCGUAGAUAUCAAGCGGAACACCGGUGGCGAAGGCGGCCUUCUGGACAGUGACUGACGCUGAGACGCGAAAGCGUGGGGAGCAAACAGG